AGCUCUAGGAACAAGCUUCUCCCAUAAGCUGCCUUUUUGGCCUGGGAGUUUUUGCAUAAGUAACACCAAACUGGGCCAUAAUCAGAAGAUAUUGUACCAGAUAAACAUUGUGGCAGCACUUAAGUGAAAUAUACUUAGCAUCAUUGAAUUUGAUUGGCAGAGACAUCUCUUAAACUGGUCAGAAUGAAAUAGUCCAGAGAAUUAAAAUAUUUUUAGGAUAUAGGAUUCCAAAAUUUAAU
rnacentral:misc_RNA from 1 species